rnacentral:rRNA from 1 species
CCUACGGGUGGCAGCAGUCGGGAAUAUUGCGCAAUGGAGGAAACUCUGACGCAGUGACGCCGCGUAUAGGAAGAAGUUUUUCGGAAUGUAAACUAUUGUCGUUAGGGAAGAGAAAGGACAGUACCUAAGGAGGAAGCUCCGGCUAACUACGUGCCAGCAGCCGCGGUAAUACGGAGGGAGCGAGCGUUAUCCGGAAUUAUUGGGUGUAAAGGGAGCGUAGACGGCAGGGCAAGUCUGGUGUGAAAGGCGGGGGCUCAACCCCCGGAAUGCUAUGGAAACUGUACGGCUUGAGUGCAGUAGAGGUAGGUGGAAGUCCUGGUGUAGCGGUGAAAUGCGUAGAUAUUAGGAGGAACACCAGUGGCGAAGGCGGCUUACUGGACUGUAACUGACGUUGAGGCUCGAAAGCGUGGGGAGCAAACAGGAUUAGAUACCCUGGUAGUC